rnacentral:rRNA from 1 species
ACAGCAGUAGCCGCGGGAACACGGAGGGUGCAAGCGUUAAUCGGAAUUACUGGGCGUAAAGCGUGCGCAGGCGGUUAUAUAAGACAGAUGUGAAAUCCCCGGGCUCAACCUGGGACCUGCAUUUGGGACUGUAUAGCUAGAGUACGGUAGAGGGGGAUGGAAUUCCGCGUGUAGCAGUGAAAUGCGUAGAUAUGCGGAGGAACACCGAUGGCGAAGGCAAUCCCCUGGACCUGUACUGACGCUCAUGCACGAAAGCGUGGGGAGCAAACAGGAUUAGAUACCCGCGUAGUCCCUGUCUCUUAUAC